rnacentral:rRNA from 1 species
AAAACGGAGAGUUUGAUCCUGGCUCAGGAUGAACGCUGGCGGUAUGCUUAACACAUGCAAGUCGAACGGAGUUCUUCGGAACUUAGUGGCGGACGGGUGAGUAACGCGUGAGAAUCUGGC